GGAGGGAUGGCCGAGUGGCUUAAGGCGGCGGUCUUGAAAACCGUUGUAGAUCUCCGAUCUACCGGGGGUUCGAAUCCCUCUCCCUCCG
rnacentral:tRNA from 1 species